CAGUCAUCAACAACCUCAACAUGCCCCGUUGGCACAUGUAUCCAUACGUCUGAAUGGCUUUUGAACGUGGCUACUGAAUUAAUUUAAUUGAAACAAAAGACACCUGGAAUGUUCCUCUUGAGGAAUUGGAAAGAAUUGGUGGCGGUACAAUUCCACUACCAAUACUGGAAGACAUGAAGAACUAAUAUGAGCCAGUACGAAAUGUCUACGACGUCCUGAAUGAUGAAUAUUCUCAAUAUAGAUGGAUUGUUAGUAAGGAAAUGACAUCUAAUUUCUAUAGGCAUUUCUAUAUUCCACUUCCUUCAUGGCGUGAAUUAUGUUAUGAAAAGGAAUGAUCAGAUAUCAUGCAUCAUUCAUAUAAAAAUAAAUUGUGACAUUUUUGUUUA